rnacentral:lncRNA from 1 species
CCCGUCUAAGGAAGGGUUAAGGAAAUAACAAAUACCCCCUCAAGAUUUUCCGGGAAAAAAAACAACACUGAAGAUAAGCACAUAGAAACCUCAAACAGCAGGCCUUCUGUUAAGUAUGUGACAGAAAUUUCCCUGCUCGAGGCAGCUGUUCUGGCCAUUCACAGAAGGAAACAUCCUUACUGAUCAACUGCAAGAGAGUGCUGGAGGCAGCUGCAAGGUGACCACCGCACUGACCUCACCCAUUACAGAUGACUCCAACGUGUUAAGAAACAGCCAAGUGAGAUGGAGAUGGGAAGAAAUAAAA